GGUAUAUAUCUAAGACUCAUAAGGUAACUCUAUGUUUAACACUUUCAGAAAUCACCAACUGUUUUCCAAAGCAAAGUUACAGUUUUACAUUCCUGCAUGCAACAUAUGUGGCUUACAACUUGUUUUGCAUUUCUUUUGUUAAAUUUAUUCCUAAGUAUUUUAUUCUUUUUGAUACCAUUGUAAAUGGAAUUGUUUUCUUAAUUUCGACUUUGGAUUGUUUGUUACUAAUGGACAGUUGUUCAUUACUAAUGGAUAGAAUCACACUCAUUAAUGACUAACAGAUAGGAAUGUAAUUGACUUAUGUAUGUUGAUCGUAUACCCUGCCACAUGGCUGAACUCAUUUAUUAGCUCUGGUAGAUUUUUAGUGAAUUCCUUCCUAUUUUCUAUAUAGAGGCUCAUGUCAUCUGCAAAUAGAGAUAGUUUUACUUCUUUUCCAACCUGGACGUCUUUUAUUUUAUUUUCUUGCCGAAUUUUCUCUGACUAGACUGGGCCAAAGAAAGAAAAAACUCAUGUUCUUGGCCACACCGCUGAGUGGAGAUUCAGUUACAUUUAGCUGGUGGGUGGGGAGCAAGUCGUGGCUCAAAGGUCAGAGACACUAUUUUUAACGAGACUUAAUAGAUUUUCUUAAAUAAAUAUUUCCUCGUUUUCUGUGUAUCCUUAGACCAAUUUCCAGAGGCUUUAAGUGGUUGUUAUUUUUUAUAAUUUUCAUGAGGUAUGGUUGUUUCACUGGGGGGAGUGUCCACAGAGCUCUUCACACCACCACCGAGAAGUGCUUCUCCCUAAUACGGUGCAUUAGUUUCCUAUAGCUGCUGUGACAAAUCACCGCAAAUUUAGUGGCUUAAAAUAAUACAGAUUUAUUCUCCUACAGUUCUGGAGGCCAGAUGUCCAAAAUUAGUUUCACUGGCCUGAAGUCAAGGUGUUAUCAGGGCGAAUUGCUUCUGGAGGCUCUAGGGGAAAAUCCCUUCCUUACCUCUUCUAGCUUCUAGAGGCUGCUGGCAUUCUUUAGCUUGGGGCCCAAUAACUCCCACCUUUGCUUCCUUUGGCACAAAGCCUUCUCUCUGACCCUGACUCUUCCUGUAUCCCUUUUAUAAGGACCUUUGUGAUUAUAUCAGGCCACCUAGGUAAUCCAGGAUAAUCUCUUUAUUUCAAGAUUUUUAACUGGACCACAUCUGCAAUUUCCCUCUUGCCAUGUAAGGUCACAUUCCCAGGUUCCAGGGACUAGUAAGUAACAUCUUGGGGGAGGAGGUGCAAUUUUUCAGAAUUAUAUAAUUUUAGGGUUCGGAAGGAGCUUUAGUCUUUGUAAAAGAAGAAACUGAACCUUGGGUUGGUUACAAUCACACCGAAGGCCGUACAGCUAGAGUGUGACAGAGCUAGAUAAGGGUCUCCAGCCUCCUGUUUCGGAACAUAAAGUUUGACUGCUUAAACAAAAAUAAAAUCCAUAUUAUUUGUGGAUUCUAAGCCACAGAUAUAAAUUUUAAAUUGGUGAAUUAUGGAAGCACAAAAUUGGUUUUUAUCAAAAUUAGCUAUCCGAAGUCAACUUAAAAGUAAUAUAUGCAAUUCAAUCAUUAUAUUCAAAUUUCACCUUUUAUAACAUCCUUUGCCUUUUAAAGAUAAGAAUUGGCUGCAAGCAAGAUGUUUUUCACAAGUCAAUUUAAUUCAUGUUCAUGAAUAUAUGCAAUAAAAAGUUAUUACCAUAAGCACUGUGGAAUAAAUAUAUGUACAUUUAGAUAAUUUAUGGAUAAUCUGUCCUUUGGUGAUUCCAAAUGAGAGAAAUCAUCCACAAUUCCAGAAGGAAUCUGAAAAAUUUAAUUGAAUGAACUGUGUGUGAUGUGAGAGGAUUUCUUUCCAAAAAAUAUUUUCACUAACUUAAGUUUAUAAAAUGUGAUCCUCUCCAGUGCUUUUCUCUAGGGUUGUUUUUUUCCCUGGCUUCUGAAGGACAUUCAGGGCAUGUUAACAUUUCUCUUGUGACAUAAAAUGACCCAUGGAAAGAACUGAUUAAUGAUUGCACACAGUACUUUGGGGGAAAAAGUCAUCAUGAGAGUUGGAACUGUUCCUUUUAACAACAAUGUCCGCACUUAGAGUUUUUCAAAGCCAUUUCAGUAAAAAAAGAGAGAAAAGGAACAAACCUCCCUCCCCGAUGGAUGCCUUUCGCAGACUCAUCAUCAUCGCUCAAUGAGAAGUUGAACAAUAAGCCAUUGUCAGUUAUAAGCAGUGGUUACAGGGAAAGAAUCUGGCCCUCUAAAAGGAUAGAUUACACUGCCAAAUAGAUUUGAUCUGACCCUCUUGUUAGCAUGUAGAAUUCCCUUUGUAGUAUCAGCUCAGAGAAAGGGAAAAAGGUAGAGUGAGGGUGUUUCUGGCACAUAAUUGGGUUCUGUGGAAUAGAUCGUUUUUUUAAGGGUAGAAUAUUCUGUACUAGACUUACUUACUACUAUUCUAUGAAUACAGUGCAAGAGUACAUCAAACGUUUUCUCAAAUGACUGAAUUUAAAGGCCUCCUUUAAAAGAAUCAUAAAAAAACCUCUUUAAUCAAGAAAAGCCAUUGUUUGAUGUAUUCUCAAGUGAUGUUCAAGCUCACUGAGAAUGUUUUUGAGGUUUCAGAUUGGGUGGGAGUAAUCUUUUAUGAUUCCUCUGCCCCUUAGUUCUAUCAACCGCAUAGAACUCUCUGUCCUGAAAAUAAACAUGGAGAAACAGUGAAGUAGAGCAUAACACAUGCUAAAAAACUACAGAACAAGGUUUCCAAUCACCAUUGUACUCUAUCCCUUAAAUAAUACGUGCACUAUCUUUUCAGUGGGAAAGGACAAAUCCUUCAGGGCCCAGUUGACACUGUUAGAAAAUUCAGCCUAGAGAAUCACUGGGUACAUGAAUCAAAUCGUACUUGAUACAUGUUCACAAAACGUGAAUUUCAUAACAAUUCCUCCUCCCAUAGAAAUGACUAUAUAUAACGAUUAUUUACUUAAGGGAAAAAUAUUAUUGAUAAGCAGCAUUUUAAAAUCAUAAUCUGUUCACAUAAAAAUGUUUAUUGAGGUAUAAUAUACAUACAAAAAUAUAGAUAUCAUGAAUAUUCAGGCCUAUUAAUUUUAACAAAUAACGCACCUGUGUAACCAGCACCCAGAUCUACAGGCAGCAUCCCCAAAGGCCCCUUUAUUUAAAAUUUUUAGGAAGGAUUUGAUAUCGCUUGUUUAGAAGUUUGAGAGGCUAACUGAAGAGUCAUUUUUCUGGUACUUUUUUUCUUAAGCAGUUUAGAGGGACCCAAAAGUAUUUGUCAUACACUUUCAUAUAGUACACUAAAAGGGAAGAAGAGAAAAGUAUAACCCUACUUUAUUUUUCAUUCAGUAAAGGAGGGGGCAUUUAUAGAAAACCAUGGGAGGAAUAACCAAUUUGUGAAGACUGAAUUACUAGUUUUAAAUUCACAGACUCUUGAAGACUGUGACUCUAGGAAACAGAUUCUGCACACAGCCAGCCUGCUAGAGGGAGACAGAGGUACCAACCCAGGCUCCCAGGCCAUCUCUGGGCUGUCACUAGGGCCUGUCUUGGUGGUGGUGAAGCCAAGGCCCAGGCAGGGCUCUGGCAGCCACCAGGUCAAAAAAGGCUUUCUGGACAUCUCACUGCUGAGAUGAAGACAGGAACGCAAGGAGUAUGCAAAGAGGUCUAAAAAGAGCAGAUUUAAGAGCUUAAACAGGACCUGAAAAGACUUGAGCUGGGGGCCCAAAUGGAGGAGGCAGAGAAGGUUCUAGAAUUCCUCAGAGACAGCAGACUGGACCAUGGGUUCAUAGGGUCCAUUUCACAGAAAUUGUUCAAUGACAAUCCUGCCAUUAUCGAUACAGAAAUAGAAGCCUAAGGGGUAUUCCCAGUUUCAGGGAUAUAAAUGGGGAAGCUCGGACCAGAACACUCAUCUACAAGCUUCCAGAGCCCAUUCUGUUCUUUAUUAUUACUCAAGUCAGAUCAUUUUACUACUUUGUACCACUGAGUUGUGUUGGAAAGGUGUUAUGGUUCAGGAGCUGAAAAACACGAGUUGAAAACUUAGGGCCGGGCAGUUUUGAAAGUUGUUGGUUAAGGGAGUUUUGUAGGGUUGCCGUCAAAUCAGAGUCAUGUUAUUAUUCAAACGGAGCUCAUCAUGCUAACUUUAUCUUCAGUCGGCUAGGAAAAAAUGAGGGGUAAGUGUGAAUGAAAAGGACCUGGCUAUAGAGGUAGGCUCAUAACACUCUGUUCUGAUCUGUGUGUGUGUGUUUGGUAGGCGUUUAUGUGUGUAGGUAUGUGCCUGCCCAACACUCUUGGAUCUAUUGUAGCUAUUGUACUGCUUUUAUUUACUUUUUUGGUCUCAAUUUUUCCAUAUAGCAACUGAAGGUGCAGUUGCAAGGACAAUGUGUGUCUGCUGGGAUGCUUGCCAUUUUAUUUUUCUUUAUUCAGAGGAUACAGGUAACUUAUUUCAUAAAAGUGAGUUUGUGGUCUGGAUUUGUUUUGAAACCCAGGUCACAUGAUUAAAUGUAAUUAGUUUUAAACUAAAGAGCACACACAUGAAUAAUGCAAAUGGUAGCUUGAUCCUCCUUUACUCUGGACAAAAAUUAACAUUAUUAGAAACUUGCAAAACUUAGUGGAUAGGUUUGGGCUGUUCACUUAACUGCGCUCUGUCAGGCUUUCUGGUUGUGGCUGGCUAGCUCUUUUUUUCUGCUUCAAACAAGCCAAGGUCAUUGGUUUAAUCCUUAUAUUAGCUCUUUAGCUUUGGUCUGUGUCACAGCUAUGGACUGAGUACCAUUCCUAGUUUUCUGUUUUGUAAAUGAAUAUUCCUGAAAUUAAGGGAGUCCCAUGAAAAUCGGAAGAGUUUGGGAGCUUUGUAGACAGUUUUCAGUCUAAGACUGAUGGCAAACUUUAAGCCUAAUGUUUAUGAUUCUUUGAGUUAACCACUUCUCAAAAGAAAGAUCACUUUCUCAGAAACAGCUAAACUACAUCUAUAUUGACGGUGUGAUGUUGUGUCCUUUUCACGUGUGAAGGGUGUUUUCCGUGCACGUUGAAUGUAAGAAUUGUCAUGGGAGCUCUGGUGGGUCCAAUCCAAGUACAAGACAAGUUUGGACCAAAGUUAAGUUGGGCUCUGAGGUGCACAAGCCCAGCGCAAAAGGAUGCACACAUACAUGUGAUGUGGCCCCUCAUGUGCCCACAGGCAGCCACAGCCCAGGGAGCACCAAAGGUCAGACACAAGGAAGCUGAAUUCUGUCCUCAGGUCCCACUAUGAGUGCAGGCAGCAAAGGGCAGGCCACAGCGGUUGGGGCAGACGCUGGCUGGACCCUGGAAUGGAAAUGGGAGCAAGGGGGCUGGUGCCGUGAGAGGGUCUGAGGCAGUUGCUGUAAACAGGAAAGUGUGUCUGAGGAUGUGUUUUAAAGUCUCUGUUGACCAUGUAUGUGGCUCACAGGCCAGAGUACAGAAUCAGAGCAGAUCCCCAAUAUUAUUGGAGAAUGAGGUAUUUCCCGUCGGUGGAUUUUACAAAUACCUGAAACAAAUCCUCUGAAAUGUGUACAUUCAUCAUUUCCAGGGAACCCUUUGAAAUGGAUUGUAUGUUUCCUGACCUUUAAAAGCAGAGUUUAUGAGUUUAAUGUAAACCUUACUAGAUAACCAUCCUGACUGUACUGUGCUUUAAAUAGUGAAGACUUCAGGUUUAUUAAGCUCUGACAGACCUCUUGUCCAUACAGGAAACAUCAAGUCUCCCCAGACUUCCACAUUAAAAACAAAAAUUCUUGUGUUUGCUUUUAUUUAUUUUUUUUAAAUCUUUUUCCCUCUAGCAAAGUGGUGGUGUUUCUUAUGACAUCUAGCUUUACUCAGGGUGCCCACCUCUGUUGGUGCUCUUCCCUGCUCUUCUGCCAAAUUAUUUCUGAUUUAUCUGUUUUGAGCUACAAAAACAGAUGUUCAGGUAUGUUAAAAUUAUGUGCAAAAUAAGAGAAGCGGUCCUAAAAAAAAGUCUUAAGAAUUAAGCAUAUAAACUUUAGUGCAUAGACAUGAAACUUCAAACAUCUACUUAAUCUUCUCAGAAUCCUUUUGGUACUUCUAUGUUGUGUUCGUUUUCAUAGGUAAGAUUGUCAGCAGUCCUCUCUGAAUAUGUGAUGUAUUAACAGAAUUUGAAAUAUUAUUUGGUACUUUAUAUUUGCUGUCAUGUCUUUUCUAGAACUGUGACUGGCACACAGUAAGGGCUUAACAAAUAUUUCUUGUAGGAAUGAUAUAUUGAUGAAUAUAUUCAUCAGGCAGGACAUGCAGUUUGUAUCCGACGAAAUUCAGCUACAUGCCCUAUUUAGCAGAAGGCACUGUUCUGGGACCUCAGAAUACUUCAGUGAACAAAUGAGAAGAACCCUUCCCUGGUGGAGCUUGGCUACGGCAAGGAACAGAGAUGAAGAGUGCAGACAGGGAGGCAGCCUAGG